rnacentral:rRNA from 1 species
CCUACGGGUGGCAGCAGUGGGGAAUAUUGCACAAUGGGGGAAACCCUGAUGCAGCGACGCCGCGUGAGCGAUGAAGUAUCUCGGUAUGUAAAGCUCUAUCAGCAGGGAAGAAAGUGACAGUACCUGACUAAGAAGCCCCGGCUAACUACGUGCCAGCAGCCGCGGUAAUACGUAGGGGGCAAGCGUUAUCCGGAUUCACUGGGCGUAAAGGGAGCGCAGGCGGCACGGCAAGUCUGGUGUGAAAACCCGGGGCUCAACCCCGGGACUGCAUUGGAAACUGCCGGGCUGGAGUGUCGGAGGGGUAAGCGGAAUUCCUAGUGUAGCGGUGAAAUGCGUAGAUAUUAGGAGGAACACCAGUGGCGAAGGCGGCUUACUGGACGAUGACUGACGCUGAGGCUCGAAAGCGUGGGGAGCAAACAGGAUUAGAUACCCUGGUAGUC